CACAUAAAAAAAAUUGAAAUAAAAAAUAAAAUAAGUGAAUGUAAUACGCGUCCGUACAAAACACUUUUGUACAUUGUAUUUAUUUACUUCUUAAUAAUAAGAAGAUAAUGCAUCAUCGUUUAUGUGUGUAAGCAACUGAUAAAAUGGGACUUUACAACCCCUGAGCUUUCAGGCCCUUGAGUCAGUAUGAAGCAUAAAGUGACCACCACAAAUACUCAAAAAACAACCACAAAGAGACACCAAACAACCACAAAGAGACACAAAAAAACACGGAGACACCAAAUAAACACAAAGAGACACCAAACAAUAAUACUAUUUGUAUUAGUUUUUUGUGUCUUUCAGUUUCCCAUGUUGGCGGACUGGGUCGCCUAUCUUUGCAAAGGGGCCUAAUUUUUUUCACGAUCUUUCCAUGGCUGACCCAUCCGAAACACACUUCAAGUUAUCCUGGUUGACUAUGGUCAAAGCAUUUGGUAACCAAAUUACAAUAAAUAUAUAUUGUCACUCUUGAAGUUUCGAGCCAUGGAGAUAUUUUUGGUGGCAAAAUGGCUCCACAGCACCACCUAAAACGCAGCAAUUCUGUCUGGUUUAACCAAUCUUCAGGAAACUUGGUUCACACGUGUAUCAUGACUGGAUGAAAGAAAACAAUCGCCAACAAUUUGAUUAACGCAAGUCAGAAAGAAGCUGAGAAACUAGUCCAUGCAUUAGUUUCCCUCUUCACUGGAUUACUGUAAAUCUCUAUCAUCAGGAUCUCUCCAGCUGGUCCAAAAUGCUCAGCACGAGUAACGACAGAAAUUCAAACAGAUCAAAUAACACCUGUUUAAGCUUCUCUACAUUGGCUACCUGUAAAGCAGAAUAUAAAUCAAGAUCCUGCUCCUAACAUACAAAGCAAUUAACAUCCAUCCCCUUCAUAUAUCAAAGAGCUCAUAACACUGUCACAAUAGAUCACUUUGCUCCUAAAACACAGGCUCUCUUGUGGUUCCUAGAGUCUGUAAGAAUAGAAUAGGAGGUGUAGCCUUCAGCUACCAAGCUCCUCUCCUGUGGAACCAGCUCCCACUGUUGGCUCAGGAGACACACUCUCAAAAGUGGAUUUGAGUAAUAGUUGAAGUAAUGUAAAGCUUUGAGUGAAUCUCACUUAGUUUUCUGCUUUAGUGGUGGCAGUCCACAUGUGUGUACUUUAUCAACUUAAUAAAACAGCUUUUUCCUUUAAUGCACAUUUCUAAUUGGAGUCAAAGCGCCUCAUUUAAGUUAACCAUUUUGCGUAUGACUUCAUGACGUCAACUUCUAAUGUCUCCGGCGAGAUUUCUUCAACCGAUGUCCGCCUACUUUCUUUUCAAACAAGCAGAGCCAAGCCAUGUUUGUUUCGGCGGCCCUCGUAUUUUCGUCGGGAAGUAUGGAGUCGAGUCUCGCUGUGUGAAAGCACCACAGACGUUCCAGGUGGUUACUUGAGCCCAGGACACAAGAUUCACUUAAGGGAACAGCGGUGUGCCCAUUGACAGCUCAGCAGCAAUGCAACCGAGAGACCAUACGUCGAUGUUCCCGCUGAAAGGAUCUUCAUACAGAAUCUCAGGAGACCUUAGGAUGAGAAACACAAACAUAUUACUGAGGUUUAAAAUUUGUUUAACUCCUUGUUACUGUCAGUUUCUGAGAUAUAAACCUGACAUGCCAGUGUACAGGACUUGUUCAAUUAUUUACAGCAAACACAACUGUCCCAGGUAUACAGAUGUGCUGUCAGUUACUUACCUGUAACACAAGGUCUGGAGGGUUUCACCGAUCAUUUCCUCAGGAUCAUCGAAGGAUAUGCCAAAGUCAAAGUCUUUAACUUUGAGUGGCUGCCUGACAUGAUCCACCAACAUGAUGUUAUCUGGCUUCAAAUCUGCAUGAAUGAUCCCUGCACUGUUCACUAAAGUUCAAGGCUGUAGCUAGCUGAAAUCAUGAAAAGCAUAAUAAUAAUCAUGAGCUACAGAGUUCAUUUCAUCAACAACAACUGUAACGACCAAGUUUACCCUUCACGCUACAAAGCAGUUAGUGUAAGAGCUUGAGUUUAAAAAACAACCUGCUGCAGAAUGGGGCGGAUCUGCUUCAGCUGAAGGUGUUGACCCGGGCUGAUCUGUUUGAAUUUAUGCAGAUCCAUAUCCAGGAGCUCAAACACAAGACAGUAAUGUUCCUUGUAGAAGAGAGACUCGUACAAUUUGACAAUGUUGAACCUGUCUGAGUGGAGCUUCUUCAUGGUUUGAAGGAGGACCUCCUCUUCUUGUGCACAGUCAAUGUUUUCGAGGCUUUGGAUGAUUUUUAAAGCCACCGUUUCACCGGUGGUCACAUUCCUGCAUUGGAUGACCAUACCAUAGGCGCCUUGGCCAAGGUAUUUCUGUGCAAGGUAAUAUGUAGUGGGGGAGGGGAUCAGGUCUCCUUCGAUGAUAUUAAACUCACUUGUUUGAGACAUGGUGACGGAGUAGUUAUGCUGUUGAUGUUUCACACUUGUCAGGAGAAUAGAAAAGGAAGUUAGAUGCAGCCAACUAUGCCAGUUCCUAUCAGCCAUGUAGGUAGAAUAAGAGUGUACACACCAUUAAGCUCAGUCCUUGUGUGAAACUCUAUAAGUACUAAAAGUAAAGCUUAGUAAAGUAAGACACUUUAAAGACAGGUCAUGAGACAGCUUUAAGAUCUAAUUAGUUUAAAGCCACAUCUGUCACAUUGUAUGAACUCCAUGCCUUUGUAAUGAUUUCCUUUUUUCAUGUGAAUUUUCUUUCUUUUCUUUUCAUCAUGAUUCUUUCAUUUGAAUCUUUGUCAACCAUCAUGAUUUACACACACUCAUGAAAAAAUGAUUCAUUGGGUGAAUAUAAUUUUAUCUUCUUUAUCUGUGUGGGUGGAAUGUCAUUUGAAUAUGUUCAUUCAACUAAUGUGCUUUUAAUUGAAUUAAAAUGUU